rnacentral:lncRNA from 1 species
CUCGAGCAUCACCAUGCCCCUGAGAUACCACUUCAGAAAAUGCCUCUAUGCCUGUCUGGAAAGCUCUUCCUAAAAGCUGGCAGCACAGUCCCUCACCAUAGCUCUUUGCAGUCUUCCAGAAUUAAUUCCCUCAUACAAAUCCCUGCAUUGUCCAUCACUUUCAUGUCUCUCUUGACGUUGCUUCACUUGGAUUUGUACACUGAACAGAGAUAAAGCACCCAAAGUUUGAAUCACCAGGCUCUGAUUAGACCAGUUCAACAGCCAUGUCAGAAAUAGUCAUUCAGUAAUUGUUGUGACAUGACCACACGGAUGCCAGGGUUUCUUUUAGGACUAAUAACUUUAACUACUCCCUUUAUUGAGGACAGGCUCCCUUCUUAUACCAUCUUAUACCAAGCGGUACUUUCCCACUAGCUAUUAAUUGGUUAACAACUUUGCCCAGCAACAGCAAACACCCAGCAACUUCCAUGUUUUAAAGCUGGAGAACAAGCAGUUUGAGACAGCAAGAAUCACCGUUCUUUGUUCCUGCUAACUUGUUUACAUUCCUCAUGGCUUCAUUGUCACCAGUCCGAUGUUAUCACCAACCAACCACGGGGCUUGUUGACCCCCAUUGCGAUCCUCCCACAAGUAAUACUUAAGAUGAAGGUAAGAGGAGGAAAAUAAAACUAAAUGCAAUCCCAGUCAGAGACGAAUACAUCUUUUACUUCCUUAUCUUCACUCAGAAACAUCCACAAUAUAAUGCAGCCCUAGAGCCGGGGGUCUGUAGCAUUCCCCUAUUUUACAAGUUGUACGGUCGAUUACAGCUCUAAACACCACAGGACUUACCCCAGCUCCUUGCAGUGCAGGUCCCCAGUGCUUCUCCCGUGUCCCCGCCGAGCCCUGCAGCCUGCAGACAUGGCAGGUCCGGCCCUCCAGGGCUGUAACACCUGCCAUUAUGUUGCAGCCCCCCAGCAGGGCACAGGUACAGGCCCCUGCUCCCACUCCUGAAGGUUCCAGGAGGUUCCAGGAGGGCAGGAGGCCUCACCACCUUUCCCAAGCAGGUGCCUGGAAGGCAAAGAUAAAGGGCAGCCACAACCAGCGGGGCUGCUCCGCAGCAGUGUGCUUCUUUGUCCCUGUGGGCCUGCUGCAGCAAAUAUUAAUCAAGAGGAGAACAGAUUUUCUCUGCUAG